GAUGAACGCUGGCGGCGUGCCUAAUACAUGCAAGUCGAGCGAACAGACGAGGAGCUUGCUCCUCUGACGUUAGCGGCGGACGGGUGAGUAACACGUGGAUAACCUACCUAUAAGACUGGGAUAACUUCGGGAAACCGGAGCUAAUACCGGAUAAUAUAUUGAACCGCAUGGUUCAAUAGUGAAAGACGGUUUUGCUGUCACUUAUAGAUGGAUCCGCGCCGCAUUAGCUAGUUGGUAAGGUAACGGCUUACCAAGGCAACGAUGCGUAGCCGACCUGAGAGGGUGAUCGGCCACACUGGAACUGAGACACGGUCCAGACUCCUACGGGAGGCAGCAGUAGGGAAUCUUCCGCAAUGGGCGAAAGCUUGGCGGAGCAACGCCGCGUGAGUUAUGAAGGUCUUCGGAUCGUAAAACUCUGUUAUUAGGGAAGAACAAAUGUGUAAGUAACUAUGCACGUCUUGACGGUACCUAAUCAGAAAGCCACGGCUAACUACGUG
rnacentral:rRNA from 1 species